GAUGAACGCUAGCGGCAGGCUUAAUACAUGCAAGUCGAGGGACAGCACAGGUAGCAAUACUGGGUGGUAACCGGCAAACGGGUGCGGAACACGUACACAACCUUCCUUUAAGUAGGGGAUAGCCCAGAGAAAUUUGGAUUAAUACCCCGUAAUAUAGUUGAAUGGCAUCAUUUGAUUAUUAUAGCUACAGCGCUUAAUGAUGGGUGUGCGGCUGAUUAGAUAGUUGGCGGGGUAACGGCCCACCAAGUCUACGAUCAGUAGCUGAUGUGAGAGCAUGAUCAGCCACACGGGCACUGAGACACGGGCCCGACUCCUACGGGAGGCAGCAGUAAGGAAUAUUGGUCAAUGGACGCAAGUCUGAACCAGCCAUGCCGCGUGAAGGAUUAAGGUCCUCUGGAUUGUAAACUUCUUUUAUUUGGGACGAAAAAGGGCCUUUCUAGGUCAACUGACGGUACCAGAUGAAUAAGCACCGGCUAACUCCGUGCCAGCCGCCGCAGUAAAAC
rnacentral:rRNA from 1 species